GAUGAAGAACGUAGCGAAAUGCGAUAAGUAAUGUGAAUUGCAGAAUUCAGUGAAUCAUCGAAUCUUUGAACGCACAUUGCGCCCGGUAGUAUUCUGCCGGGCAUGCCUGUUCGAGCGUCAUUUCAACCAUCAAGCCCCAGCGCUUGUGUUGGGGGCCUGCGGCUGCCGCAGCCCCCUAAAAGCAGUGGCGGGCUCGCUGUCACACCGAGCGUAGUAGCAUACAUCUCGCUCUGGGCGUGCUGCGGGUUCCGGCCGUUAAACCACCUUCAUAACCCAAGGUUGACCUCGGAUCAGGUAGGAAGACCCGCUGAACUUAAGCAUAUCAAUAAGCGGAGGA
rnacentral:misc_RNA from 1 species